AACGAACGCUGGCGGCAUGCCUAACACAUGCAAGUCGAACGAGACCUUCGGGUCUAGUGGCGCACGGGUGCGUAACGCGUGGGAAUCUGCCCUUGGGUUCGGGAUAACAGUUGGAAACGACUGCUAAUACCGGAUGAUGACUUCGGUCCAAAGAUUUAUCGCCCAGGGAUGAGCCCGCGUCGGAUUAGCUAGUUGGUGAGGUAAGAGCUCACCAAGGCGACGAUCCGUAGCUGGUCUGAGAGGAUGAUCAGCCACACUGGGACUGAGACACGGCCCAGACUCCUACGGGAGGCAGCAGUGGGGAAUAUUGGAAAAUGGGCGAAAGCCUGAUCCAGCAAUGCCGCGUGAGUGAUGAAGGCCUUAGGGUUGUAAAGCUCUUUUACCCGGGAUGAUAAUGACAGUACCGGGAGAAUAAGCCCCGGCUAACUCCGUG
rnacentral:rRNA from 1 species